rnacentral:rRNA from 1 species
GUGAGGUAAUGGCUCACCAAGGCAUCGACGGGUAGCUGGUCUGAGAGGACGAUCAGCCACACUGGGACUGAGACACGGCCCAGACUCCUACGGGAGGCAGCAGUAGGGAAUCUUGCGCAAUGGGCGAAAGCCUGACGCAGCAACGCCGCGUGGGGGAUGAAGGCCUUCGGGUCGUAAACCCCUUUCAGCAGGGACGAAAAUGACGGUACCUGCAGAAGAAGGUCCGGCCAACUACGUGCCAGCAGCCGCGGUAAUACGUAGGGACCAAGCGUUGUCCGGAAUUAUUGGGCGUAAAGAGCUCGUAGGCGGUUCGGUAAGUCGGGUGUGAAAAUCCAGGGCUCAACCCUGGGACGCCACCCGAUACUGCUGUGACUAGAGUCCGGUAGAGGAGCGUGGAAUUCCUGGUGUAGCGGUGAAAUGCGCAGAUAUCAGGAGGAACACCAGCGGCGAAGGCGGCGCUCUGGGCCGGUACUGACGCUGAGGAGCGAAAGCAUGGGGAGCAAACAGGAUUAGAUACCCUGGUAGUCCAUGCCGUAAACGUUGGGCACUAGGUAUGGGGUCUUAUCAACGGAUUCCGUGCCGUAGCUAACGCAUUAAGUG